rnacentral:rRNA from 1 species
CCCAGACUCCUACGGGAGGCAGCAGUGAGGAAUAUUGGUCAAUGGGCGGGAGCCUGAACCAGCCAAGUCGCGUGAGGGAAGACGGUCCUAUGGAUUGUAAACCUCUUUUGCCGGGGAGCAACGGGCGCCACGUGUGGCGCCACUGAGAGUACCCGGAGAAAAAGCAUCGGCUAACUCCGUGCCAGCAGCCGCGGUAAUACGGAGGAUGCGAGCGUUAUCCGGAUUUAUUGGGUUUAAAGGGUGCGUAGGCGGUUGUUAAAGUAAGGGGUAAAUUGGGGGGCCUCACCCCCUCCCCGCCAUUGAAACUGGCGCUCUUGAGUGGAAGAGAAGUAUGCGGAAUGCGUGGUGUAGCGGUGAAAUGCAUAGAUAUCACGCAGAACCCCGAUUGCGAAGGCAGCAUGCCGGCUUCCGACUGACGCUGAAGCACGAAAGCGUGGGGAUCGAACAGGAUUAGAUACCCCUGUA